AUUGAACGCUGGCGGCAGGCCUAACACAUGCAAGUCGAACGAGUGGCGGACGGGUGAGUAAUGUCUGGGAAACUGCCUGAUGGAGGGGGAUAACUACUGGAAACGGUAGCUAAUACCGCAUACCAUCAGAUGUGCCCAGAUGGGCUUAGCUAGUUGGUGGGGUAACGGCUCACCAAGGCGAGUAUCCCUAGCUGGGCUGAGAGGAUGACCAGCAACACGGGAACUGAGACACGGGCCAGACUCCUAAGGGAGGCAGCAGUGGGGAAUAGUGCACAAUGGGCGAAAGCCUGAUGCAGCCAUGCCGCGUGUAUGAAGAAGGCCUUCGGGUUGUAAAGUACUUUCAGCGGGGAGGCGGUACCCGCAGAAGAAGCACCGGCUAACUCCGUGCCAGCAGCCGCGGUAAUUC
rnacentral:rRNA from 1 species